rnacentral:rRNA from 1 species
GACGAACGCUGGCGGCGUGCUUAACACAUGCAAGUCGAACGGAAAGGCCCUGCUUGCAGGGUACUCGAGUGGCGAACGGGUGAGUAACACGUGGGUGAUCUGCCCUGCACUUCGGGAUAAGCUUGGGAAACUGGGUCUAAUACCGGAUAGGAACCAUCUUUAGUGUGGUGGUUGGAAAGUUUUUUCGGUGUAGGAUGAGCUCGCGGCCUAUCAGCUUGUUGGUGGGGUAAUGGCCUACCAAGGCGGCGACGGGUAGCCGGCCUGAGAGGGUGUACGGCCACAUUGGGACUGAGAUACGGCCCAGACUCCUACGGGAGGCAGCAGUGGGGAAUAUUGCACAAUGGGCGCAAGCCUGAUGCAGCGACGCCGCGUGGGGGAUGAAGGCCUUCGGGUUGUAAACUCCUUUCGCUAGGGACGAAGCUUUUUGUGACGGUACCUAGAUAAGAAGCACCGGCUAACUACGUA